GUUCCUGCUGAGGUCUCAGCAACCUACUGACAUGUUUAAGCUUUUGUUUUUGUGUAUUCUUAGACUGCAACUUCCAUUUAAUGUUUCACUCUCAUUAAUAAAUUGUUUCAUUUGGGAGAUGAAGUCAUGCACCCUUUGGUGGAUGACAAAGGGGCAUUAUAAAUGACUGCUGAGAUCUGAAACUUCUUGCUCUGUUUUAUGACUUCUGGCAGUACUAAGUAAACGUAACAGCCAGGCCCUGAUCACUCAGCCAGGUGCCUGGCAUUGAGGGCAAGUGGCAACGCACUGUUCACAUAUACACAGCUCACAUCUUCUAUCCACCAAAGAAGGAUGCUCCUGUCCCUAAUGGCUAUUGUGGUCAUCCCUGGCAUACUGCAAUUCCUAAAACGCUGCUGGAAAAUUGCAUCUGGGAAGACUGUCUGAGCGGGGUCCUCUUAUUACAUCCAUAUUGAAGAAGGAGUUGCAAGGGUGGUGGAGAAACCUCCGAGCAGGAGUAUUUAGUACACAGUUUGGAGGAAAAGGUUGGAUUCUGGAUCCUGAGCUAUGACACAGAAUGCUGCUGAAUGGUGGCUCUGAAUGGUCCUUUUCUUUGUACAUGGUGUUUAUCAGUAAGAAAUUAGGGUGUUCAUCACUUGAGACUUGGCACCUCUAUGUGAUGAAAUCCAUAUACUGGCUGCGGUUGCAGGGCUGA
rnacentral:lncRNA from 14 species